AGUGAGCGCUGGCGGUAGGCCUAACACAUGCAAGUCGAACGGCAGCACAGUAAGAGCUUGCUCUUACGGGUGGCGAGUGGCGGACGGGUGAGGAAUACAUCGGAAUCUACUUUUUCGUGGGGGAUAACGUAGGGAAACUUACGCUAAUACCGCAUACGACCUACGGGUGAAAGCAGGGGAUCUUCGGACCUUGCGCGAUUGAAUGAGCCGAUGUCGGAUUAGCUAGUUGGCGGGGUAAAGGCCCACCAAGGCGACGAUCCGUAGCUGGUCUGAGAGGAUGAUCAGCCACACUGGAACUGAGACACGGUCCAGACUCCUACGGGAGGCAGCAGUAGGGAAUAUUGGACAAUGGGCGCAAGCCUGAUCCAGCCAUACCGCGUAGGUGAAGAAGGCCUUCGGGUUGUAAAGCCCUUUUGUUGGGAAAGAAAAGCAGCAGGUUAAUACCCCGCUGUUCUGACGGUACCCAAAGAAUAAGCACCGGCUAACUUCGUG
rnacentral:rRNA from 1 species